GAUGAACGCUGGCGGCGUGCCUAAUACAUGCAAGUCGAGCGAACAGAUGAGGAGCUUGCUCCUCUGACGUUAGCGGCGGACGGGUGAGUAACACGUGGAUAACCUACCUAUAAGACUGGGAUAACUUCGGGAAACCGGAGCUAAUACCGGAUAAUAUAUUGAACCGCAUGGUUCAAUAGUGAAAGACGGUUUUGCUGUCACUUAUAGAUGGAUCCGCGCCGCAUUAGCUAGUUGGUAAGGUAACGGCUUACCAAGGCAACGAUGCGUAGCCGACCUGAGAGGGUGAUCGGCCACACUGGAACUGAGACACGGUCCAGACUCCUACGGGGGGCAGCAGUAGGGAAUCUUCCGCAAAGGGCGAAAGCCUGACGGAGCAACGCCGCGUGAGUGAUGAAGGUCUUCGGAUCGUAAAACUCUGUUAUUAGGGAAGAACAAAUGUGUAAGUAACUAUGCACGUCUUGACGGUACCUAAUCAGAAAGCCACGGCUAACUACGUG
rnacentral:rRNA from 1 species